AAGAAGAUGAAGACGAAUGUGGGCUGGUUCUCCCGCUGAAAUGAGUUGACUAAAUGGGAUUUUUUGUUGCCCUUUUGGCCAAAAAAAAACAUUAUAUAUGUUGGGCUUGUUUGUAAAUGGAAAAACUUUGGGGUUUAUAAAAAUGUUAUUUUUUAAAUGAGCAUAACCCCAUUAAUACCUAAUUAUAAUAGAGUCCCUUUUACCCAAUUUUUAAAACUUGUGUCCUAAAUCCUUAAAUAAAUAACCCAAUAGUCCCUUUUAAUUCCAUUCCCUGAGUUAUGUAGUGUAUAAAAAAGUCCAAAAUGGUGUAUGAGCCUAUACUGCUCAACAAAUUUUGAAUUGGAUGCAGUAUUUUUAGGAUUAUUUUCUUCAUUAGUAUUUUUGACCUCGCUAUUUUAAAUAGGUCUACCAAUGAUAAAAGUGAAAGUUAGUCUCAGAAGUCAAAGAAUUAUGUCAAAUUUCAUUUCUGAAAUAAUAAUUUGGGGUUCAAUUCAAGAAGUUGGUAUCCGUUAUGAAGUGAUUUUGGAAUAGUGAAUCUAGCUGUGAAAUUCAAAGUGGUUUCGAAAUUCAUAUAUGCAUAUAACAGACAACUGUUGUCCUUAAUUUUAAUGUCAUUUCCAGAGAAGGCAUGCAAGAUCACACUUGAAGGUCAUUUUGUUCCCGGCUAUCCUCUUUGUGUUUCUUGGUUGUAUUCAAACCUACUUCAACAAGCUGGAUAGAGGGGAUAAACAUGAAGCCCAUAUUCCAACAGAAUAUCCUCCCUUGUUGCAAAUCCCUUAUUCCAAAGUUCGUGCUGUCGUAGACAAUUCUAUUCAAUUUCCAGGCUUGCCUGAUGCAUCAUGCAGGGAAACUGAUUCAUGUCCCGUAACCAUACUUAUCACAGGGAGCAAUAAAACUCUUGUAGAAAGUAAAUGUUCUUUUCUCAUAUGUCAUUCAAGUGUAUUUGCGUGCACAAUUAGGACUGUGACGUUCUAAAUGUAAUUUGUGAAUUUGGUAGGUGUGGCUGAAAAGAUGUUCAUAGAUACUCCUGAUCCAAAAUCAAUCUCUGACUUAGAUAGUAUUGCUAAUGGCAUUUUUGUGAGUAUUCUUUUCUCUUCCUUUUGGUAUCCUUAUUUAUCCUUCUCUUGUUCUUCUUUUCUGGAUUUUGCAUUUUUGUUGUCUUUUCUAUACUUAUCAUGUGUUGCGAGUACUCUAUAACAUUUGUUUUUGUAAUUACUACAGGGAGAAAAUGUACAGGGAAAAAAUGAUGGCUGGCAUAAACCUCUCAUUCAUGUCCAGGCUCGAUGCUCCAAAAACUCUUCAUCAGAGGUAGUGGAAUCCGAUUUCAUAUGCGUCGAAGGUUUAAAUUUGUGGCGUAACAGCUCUUUGGACGUUUACACUGAGCUAUUCAAAGGAUACAGAGAAGGAAAUACAAAAGGAAAAACCAAUGAAAUUUUGGCAGGCAUCUAAUGGCUAUCUCCAAUAUCUACUUGGUCCUGCAACUAAGAUGAUUCUAGAGUAUGUAGCUGAGAUGCCAACCCCUGCUGGCUUCAAAAGGCUACUUGAUCCACCUUCAGUUCUAGGUGUUGUCCUUCAUACAUGGGUCAUUCUCCAAAUAUUCCCGAUAACUAUCUAUUUAGUUUGUUAAGAGGUGCAUAACUGAAUGCUUAUGGUGGAAGUUACUUGCAAUUAUAUUCUAGAGCCACUUUCUUGAUCCUGGGAUUUCAUUCAAGUUAAGUGAUUUUAGUAGUCCGCACUCUACAUAUUGUUUACAACCUUGAAUA